rnacentral:rRNA from 1 species
UACGUAGGGACCGAGCGUUGUCCGGAUUCAUUGGGCGUAAAGAGCUCGUAGGCGGCCACUCAAGUCGAAUGUGAAACCUCGAGGCUUAACCUCGAGCCUGCAUUCGAUACUGGGCGGCUAGAGUCUGGUAGGGGGAUCUGGAAUUCCUGGUGUAGCGGUGGAAUGCGCAGAUAUCAGGAGGAACACCGGUGGCGAAGGCGGGAUCCUGGGCCAGUACUGACGCUGAGGAGCGAAAGCGU